CAUUGGCUAUAACAUGAAGCUAUUGUGUUAAAGGAAAGAAGUCGAGUGUUAAAAGACUUCCUACUCCAGGAUAUCCUACUGAAGAAGUCCAGAAGAAGCAUGGUGGCCCUGACUGACAGCAGACAUGCUGUCUGAUGCUAGGCUGCAGGGGCUGUGUGUGCUGUGAGUAACCAGCUCUUUGUAGGACAGAGUCAUUUGUCAUCUUGCCAGUGGGGACUUGCCUGACUUUGUACAUUAACCAGGACUUCAUCAAAAUGUACACUUAAAAUGAGCACAUUUUUUUUCCUACAUGUAAAUAAUAGCUUGAUUCUAUGAGAACUUGUUUUGACAGAAUAAUCAAAGGGGAUUAGGAUGGAAGGAGGGGAGCCAGAGGGCUUCAGGCUGAGCAGACACAAGGCCACAGGACUUGCUUUUCUCAUAGCUGGUUCAUGUGGUUGGUUUGGGAUGCAGAGCCUAGCCUAGCAAAGCCCCACCCACCUGUCCCACUGCCCUCUGUUUGCAGGGACAAGCUGUUCCCAACCAAGAAUAGGAAACAGAUGUCUGAUGGGAGCAAGCAGAGGGUGGCCACAUCAGGGAGACACACUGGCUCUGGGGACUCCAUUUCAGUGAAGCUUCUCCCAUGGGUCACUGCUGUUGACAUGUGGCUCAGGGACACCAGACGCAGGUAUUUGUGACCUAGGUAAGGUUCUAUGACUCCUUCAUGUCCACAGUUCCCACCCUUUGUGGCUUGAAGUUGACAGUGCUCAAAAGGAUAAGGAGAAGAAAGUAGUACAGAGAACAAUGGGAUUCGGACAUCGCCUACACAGUGGGAUGAACCCACAGCAGGUGAUGUCCCCUGCCACAUCAGAACGAGCUCAGAGCUGAGGGCAGAACCGAAGUGACAGCUUAAGGACCAGAGCACCGCUCAGGAAGGGAGAGAGGCUGAUUCUUCUGGUCACUGACGCCAGUUCUUCAUGCUUGCCCAGCAAGGACUUUACUGAUGAAGCUGUCAUCUCAGCUCAG